GGGAGGGGCCUCCCCGUAGGACCGACAGGGUCACCCCCCGCUCCUGAUCGAGUAGCAGUGAUGCCUGCCGUUCACUGAGUACCAGCUACGCACCUUCCAUGAUUGGAGCCAACUCCCGGUCUCUGACUUCAGGGGUAAAUGACGUGACGGCCCCAGUUCUUCUCUACCCAGCUGUGGGCUGGCGACACACUCGGCUCAGCCGUGGGACCUGCCUCGGCUCCAGCGGGACGUGAGAAGACGGGAUGGAAGCAGAGGCUGGGCACGGCUGGGCCCGGGCAGGCCUUCCCGCUGCUCCUGCCGUCCACACACGGGAUGCACGGGGAGCCGCCCCAGCCAGCAGUCACCUGACACCCAGACCCGUGGCCCAUCCCAGCUGGGACCAGAAGAACCUCCCACCCUCAACUGCUGCUGCAAAGAAUUGUGAGUAAAUACGUGGUUAUGAUUUUAAGCCAACUGGGUUUUGGGGCGUUACAUGACACUAUUUAUAAAAACGGAUAAUUGUUCAUAUUCAUCAACAUUUUGUUUAAUGUUUGAAUUACAUUUUCUUCCGAUUAUAUUUUCCUCGCCGUUUUUCUGGUUUUAUUUCCAUCUCCUGUGCAUCCCGUCUCCUUGAGAGUGAUGAAGCCACACCCCACGGUGUCUCUCCCUUCCCACCACCUGCUGGAAUUAACAGGGGACCUGACACAGGGUUUCGAAAGAAGAGCUCACGGGAUUAUCGGAAGAAAUAACUUGUGAGCUACAACUACUUACUUACGAUCAACGAGUAAGCCCCAGUAGACUUCGCUGCCUUAACCGUCAAUGCCUCCCGGAGUUAUUUAGAGCAUCCACUAGGAGAGACAAUGGUUAAGGAGAAAAUUGGAGCUUUACAAACGGGCAGCACUGUUUCUCAGACCUGUGAACCCAAACUUACCAAUCACUCCUAUUACAAAAACUAAGAAACCCAAAAGGUCACAAAAGGUAUCGGGAACUAAAGUUCUUCUUGAACAUUCAGCAGAAUUCCUCGACACCCGGUUGCUCUGGGGUCCCGUCUUCAACAUCAUUUUGUUUCCUUUCCCCAAAUCCGGCAAAUUGAUUGGAUUCCUGGUGAGACAGUCCUCCCUUUGCUCAUCCACCCCUGACUAACGUGUGACCUUUUUUGACGGAAUUGUUGAAAGCCAUUAGUGGUUUUAUUGCCUCUGAUUGCCAACAUUUGCCAAUUGUGCUGUGACAUUUAUCAAGCUCCUGUGUGGCUGGGCGAGGAGCACUUCCGGCGUCGGUUUAAACUCCGCAAACUAAUUGUCCUUAAUUAGAAUCAGCUCAGCUCCAACAGUCCAGGCUAAUCAGCUACUUCACGGGUUUGCCAUGGAGUCUGCAGCAGAAAGAAACACAGAACUAGUUGGCAUUUAGCAAAGUGAAAAGGUACUGAACUUUCAGAAAAGGAAGUCAUUUCUCUGAUAAGAUUCGGGGGACUAAACCCCACUGGCAGUCCAGGGCGCUGGCCCAGGCGGUGGCUUCCUGAGGAAGGGGUGGGUGGCGGGACUUUGCUUUAACCCUGAGGAUCCUUUGUCCCUGUUCCCUUCACCGUCACCUUCGUCACCGGCUAUGUCCAUGUGUAAGAUGACAUUUGAUCAAUCCACGGCCUGAAAGAAGAAAGGCAUUUAGGUCACUGUGAAAUCGUGGGGAGGCUGACUCGCUCCUUGGAGAAACCUCAGCCGAUGGCUUCAUUACUGCUCAGGUAGUUUCAGGAAAGAGGCUUGCCUUGGAAGUCAGGAGGUCUGUAUGGACUUGGGCAAACCACUCCAUGCCUUAACCUUGGGCUCCAAUUACAUCUUCAGUAAAAUCGGGACCGUAAAACCUUACCUGCUUCCACGAACGAAGUUUAGUGCAGAUGAAUCUGCCCAAGAUCUCCCCCAGGACCGAAAGGACCAUCAUCCAGCCCUAUAAUUUUGAAAUAGCAAAUGGCAACACUGAACAUCUCUGAACCACUUCCUUUGUUGAAAACUGCAACGUAUUUAUUACUGACAUUUAAGUUUUUCUCCCACAUACUCCCCUCUUGCAAAUAUGUCUGAAGAAACUCCGUUUCAGAGACCCAUUUAUCCUCACUGACGUCGGGUUCUCCCCCGCUGCGCCCCACAGAGGUGUGCUGCAAAGGUCAGGCCACCGGAGCAGAGCAGCUGACGACCAAACAGCCAGGUGGACACAGAGCUUUCGUGCGCGGUUCGUCAGCGUGAAGAGAGAGACGAGGGAACCAGGCGCCUUCUCCAACACGCAGCAAAGAACCCAGAGAAGAAAGGGUUUUUGUCUGGGACUCUAGAUCCGUGGACACAAAACAAGCCAAAAACGGUCAUCAGGUGGCACCUGAACAGGUGAGCACAACAGGAUGACGCUCAUCAAACGGCCAGAAACCAGAGCACUCAGGGCGUUCCUGACUCAUGCAGGAAGGUGCGUCCUCCUUCCACUUAGCACUGCGCUGGGAUAAAAGGCAUCGCCGGAGUGAGUGGCAGGGCCUGAGUCUCAUCAAUAACCGUGCGCUGUAGUGGGAACUUGUCAUUAGGGUCCCUUUGAGAGCCUGACCCAACCCAAGUAUUUAAUGAAACCCAAACUGACCUUAAAACAACCUUUCCUUAAUUUGCACAAGGUCUUUCCCCACAGAGCACUUGGCUGAUAUGAAAACAGAAAAUGCCAUUGCUCAUCUCCUGUAAUAUCUACUGUUGACAACAGCAGUUCUCAAACUCUUAGUCCCAGGAUCCCUUUUCGCUCUGAAGACGACCCCCAAGAGCUUUUGUUAAUGUGGGUUAUAUUUG